rnacentral:rRNA from 1 species
AGCGCAGGCGGGAAGACAAGUUGGAAGUGAAAUCCAUGGGCUCAACCCAUGAACUGCUUUCAAAACUGUUUUUCUUGAGUAGUGCAGAGGUAGGCGGAAUUCCCGGUGUAGCGGUGGAAUGCGUAGAUAUCGGGAGGAACACCAGUGGCGAAGGCGGCCUACUGGGCACCAACUGACGCUGAGGCUCGAAAGCGUGGGGAGCAAACA